rnacentral:rRNA from 1 species
UACGGGGGGGAGCAAGCGUUGUUCGGAUUUACUGGGCGUAAAGGGCGCGUAGGCGGCGUGACAAGUCACUUGUGAAAUCUCCGGGCUUAACUCGGAACGGUCAAGUGAUACUGUCGUGCUAGAGUACAGAAGGGGGCAACUGGAAUUCUCGGUGUAGCGGUGAAAUGCGUAGAUAUCGAGAGGAACACCUGCGGCGAAGGCGGGGUUGCUGGGCUGAUACUGACGUGAGGCGCGAAAAGCCCAGGGGGGAGCGAAACGGGGAUUUAG